AUUUAAAUGCUAAAGGGCAGCUCCUCUACUGAAGGCAACUGAAGCCAAGAGAGCUGUGACAGUUUAUGCCAGCUGAAGAUUUGCCUUUAAGUAAAUGUUUUAAACUUUUCACUAAGGAGACUAAAAUAAGCCAUAGCAUGAAACGUUAAGAGCAAAGAAUGAACUCUGGAGACCAGAGGGAUUUGGGAAAUGAAAUGAGAUCCAUCUUACUGGCACAUUUCCCCCUCCGUCUAUUUUUGGAAUUUAAAAAAUUCCCCCAGAUUUGUCUUCUACAGACCAGCUUUUUGUUCACAGACCAGCACUGAGCAGCCUCCUCUUUCACACAGGGCAGCUAUGCAACUUGCAACCAGAUAUGAGAUGAACAAGAAGAUUUGUAGUUGGUGAGCAAGUUGUGAUCAACCCAACUCCUCUGCAGAAUGCUGUGAUGCUCACCAUGACUGGGCAUACUGAUACGCUUUGUGAAAACUAAACUAGGAACACCUGCAGAGCCCCCUGGUGAGCCCCAGUGGAGGGGCUCUGAACUGAAGAGGAACACAUCUAAUGAUGCCCUGAAGUUUAGUCUGAGUAUCUCCAAAUGGAGCAUAGCUGGAAAAACAAAUCAUCUGGGGAAUGCAUUGUCUGGCUGCACAGGCCACAGCUCCAAACAGGAUGUAGUGAAGCUGCAGAGUCCUACAGCACCUGGAAGGCUUUCAAAUCUGGCAGAGCACACUACAAAUAACCCACUCCAUUGUCUGACUCAGCAUGGGAAACUGAUCCAGCUGUGCUACAGGAUGGAGAAGGUUCAAGUGUGUCAGCUCCUGGUCUGAAUGUGGGAACAGCAGAAACACGCUGUGUAGGUGGCUUACACUGUGUAGCCAGCGAACGUGCCUGCAGAUACAUGGGCAAUACCAGCACAAAGGCUACUUGCUUACCAGCCCACGCACAAAUCUGUUCCACGCUCCGCACGGGAAGAGGCAGCAGCAUCGCGGAUGAGCGAAGGCUGCAGGGUGCUGAUAUUUGGGUGAAAAUCCACACCCCACUGUGUUAUUCAUCCCUCACCAGUCCUCCAAAAUCUCCUCCCCCAGGAUAGUUUUUUGGACAGCAUCGGGAUAAAUUCUGCUGGAGGAUGGCAGAACAGGCCAAGGAGUGAGUCAAAAAUACCCACUCGUUUGAGGGAAUGAAGUAGUGUGGAAGGACUGGGUGCUAUUAAGUUGAAAGCUGUUUGUGUAGCACGGCUGCCUAACAAACAACCCUUUCAAAUAAAUUCUGAAUAAGAAUAAUGAUAUUUACUCCAAUCUUGUAGACACAGCCUUGCUCUCUUCCCAAAGCGAGGGCAAGGUCUAUGCACAGCCAGCUUCUCUGUGGGAAAGGAGAUCUGUUCAGCGCCAACGUGAACGUUGCCAGAAUGGGGUUCACAGUUGCAUGAUAGGAACACAGCAGUACUGGGCUGGGGGGAUUUGAUGCAAGCACUAACCUACUUAAUCCACUGGAGACUGCCUGGCUGUUCUUGUCUGCUUGCCAGAAGGGCUCUCAUGUCUGUGCCUCACUGCAGGGAUGCCCUGUGUUAGUUCCUCUUCCAUUUUUCACUUCUAUUUUUCACCUAGGAAACCUCCUUAUGCAGGACUGAAUGUCCUUGAAAGCAUCAGUUAUAACAAACAACCAGGGGCAGAUCUCAGACGAAUGCUGCACAAGUCAGAGGUCACAGCUGGAACUGCUUUUAGGGGAAAUUCAAAAUUACUGUCAAAAGCAGUUCUCUCUCAUUUUAAUUGUAAUUGGUUAAUCUCAUUUUAUUUGCCUUGUGGCUAUGGCUGUGAAGCUUAGGAAACUCUCGGGGCCCCUGCUCUGCUCUCAGUUACCCUGG
ensembl:lncRNA